CUCAAUUGCUCUUGUCUUGUGAAAAUUAAGCAAGGUUAGACCUGGUUAAUACUUUGAUGGGACACCACCUGGCAACGCUAGGUGCUCUAGAGU
rnacentral:rRNA from 1 species